CUCGCCUGCUGAUGUUCUUGGUCCUGGUGCUUCUGAACCUUCGAUCACAGGUUGGACUGAUGCCUUGCGCGAGGUUCAUUCCUUGGUCGGAGAUCGUUUUCGUCAGAAGCUUCGCGGCAUGGACUUUGACACGCUCCUUCGCGUGCAAUAUGAGCACCAUAGCCUUGGUCACCACAUGGCUGCCGCCUUAGAGGAGCGUUGCUCCCGGGAGGUUAUCUGCCGUGAUGAGGCAAUUGGUGUUCUGAAGAAGGAGAACGAGACCUUGGAGGCUGAGAAGGCUCGUCUGUCGGAGGAGGUUAGGGAGUUU